rnacentral:rRNA from 1 species
GGCGAACGCUGGCGGCGUGCUUAACACAUGCAAGUCGAACGGAAGGGCACUGCUUUCGUGGGGUGCUCGAGUGGCAAACGGGUGAGUAACACGUGAGUAACCUGCUCUUGACUUUGGGAUAGCUUCAGGAAACUGGGGCUAAUACCGGAUAGGAGCUCCUCCUGCAGGGUGGGGGUGGGAAAGUUUCGGCGGUUGGGGAUGGACUCGCGGCUUAUCAGCUUGUUGGUGGGGUAGUGGCUUGCCAAGGCUUUGACGGGUAGCCGGCCUGUGAGGGUGAACGGCGACCUUGCGCCUGAGAGAGGGCCCAGAGUCGUACGGGAGGCAGCAGUGGGGAAUAUUGCACAAUGGGCGGAAGUGUGAUGCAGAGACGUCGCGUGUGGGAUGACGGCCUUUGGGGUGUAAACCGCUGUAGCCUGUGACGCAGCUGGAGUGACGGUAAUGGGUAAAGAAGCACCGGCUAACUACGUG